ensembl:ncRNA T06A1.8 ncRNA
AAGAUGGAAUAUAAAAAUUUUAUAUUCUCCUCACCAGUGCCUUAUAUCGCUCGUAAAC